UACGUAGGGUGCAAGCGUUGUCCGGAAUUAUUGGGCGUAAAGAGCUCGUAGGCGGCUUGUCGCGUCGGCUGUGAAAACCUGGGGCUCAACCCCGGGCCUGCAGCCGAUACGGGCAAGCUAGAAUUCGGUAGGGGAGACUGGAAUUCCUGGUGGUAGCGGUGAAAUGCGCAGAUAUCAGGAGGAACACCGGUGGCGAAGGCGGGUCUCUGGGCCGAUAUUGACGCUGAGGAGCGAAAGCGUGGGGAGCAAACAGG
rnacentral:rRNA from 1 species